rnacentral:rRNA from 1 species
UACGGGGGGGGCAAGCGUUGUUCGGAAUUACUGGGCGUAAAGGCUCGUAGGCGGCCAACUAAGUCGGACGUGAAAUCCCCAGGCUCAACCUGGGAACUGCGUCCGAUACUGGAUGGCUUGAAUCCGGGAGAGGGAUGCGGAAUUCCAGGUGUAGCGGUGAAAUGCGUAGAUAUCAAGAGGAACACCUGCGGCGAAGGCGGGUUGCUGGGCCGACACUGACGCUGAAGCGCGAAAGCCAGGGGAGCGAACGGG